rnacentral:rRNA from 1 species
CGGGAAUAUUGCGCGAUGGAGGAAACUCUGACGCAGUGACGCCGCGUAUAGGAAGAAGGUUUUCGGAUUGUAAACUAUUGUCGUUAGGGAAGAUACAAGACAGUACCUAAGGAGGAAGCUCCGGCUAACUACGUGCCAGCAGCCGCGGUAAUACGUAGGGAGCAAGCGUUAUCCGGAUUUAUUGGGUGUAAAGGGUGCGUAGACGGGACAACAAGUUAGUUGUGAAAUCCCUCGGCUUAACUGAGGAACUGCAACUAAAACUAGUGUUCUUGAGUGUUGGAGAGGAAAGUGGAAUUCCUAGUGUAGCGGUGAAAUGCGUAGAUAUUAGGAGGAACACCGGUGGCGAAGGCGACUUUCUGGACAAUAACUGACGUUGAGGCACGAAAGUGUGGGGAGCAAAC